rnacentral:rRNA from 1 species
UACGAAGGGGGCUAGCGUUGCUCGGAAUCACUGGGCGUAAAGCGCACGUAGGCGGAUUCUUAAGUCAGGGGUGAAAUCCUAGAGCUCAACUCCAGAACUGCCUUUGAUACUGAGGGUCUUGAGUUCGGGAGAGGUGAGUGGAACUGCGAGUGUAGAGGUGAAAUUCGUAGAUAUUCGCAAGAACACCAGUGGCGAAGGCGGCUCACUGGCCCGAUACUGACGCUGAGGUGCGAAAGCGUGGGGAGCAAACAGG